GAACUUCAGCAGCACAUAUGCUAAAACUGGAAGGGUACAGACAAGAUUAGCAUGGCCGGUGCAUGAGAACGACACACGAAUAAUUCGUAAAGCGUUCCAUAUUUUU